rnacentral:rRNA from 1 species
AUUGAACGCUGGCGGCAGGCCUAACACAUGCAAGUCGAACGGUAGCACAGAGAGCUUGCUCUCGGGUGACGAGUGGCGGACGGGUGAGUAAUGUCUGGGAAACUGCCCGAUGGAGGGGGAUAACUACUGGAAACGGUAGCUAAUACCGCAUAAUGUCGCAAGACCAAAGAGGGGGACCUUCGGGCCUCUUGCCAUCGGAUGUGCCCAGAUGGGAUUAGCUUGUAGGUGAGGUAACGGCUCACCUAGGCGACGAUCCCUAGCUGGUCUGAGAGGAUGACCAGCCACACUGGAACUGAGACACGGUCCAGACUCCUACGGGAGGCAGCAGUGGGGAAUAUUGCACAAUGGGCGCAAGCCUGAUGCAGCCAUGCCGCGUGUAUGAAGAAGGCCUUCGGGUUGUAAAGUACUUUCAGCGGGGAGGAAGGGAGUGAGGUUAAUAACCUUAUUCAUUGACGUUACCCGCAGAAGAAGCACCGGCUAACUCCGUGCCAGCAGCCGCGGUAAUACGGAGGGUGCAAGCGUUAAUCGGAAUUACUGGGCGUAAAGCGCACGCAGGCGGUCUGUCAAGUCGGAUGUGAAAUCCCCGGGCUCAACCUGGGAACUGCAUUCGAAACUGGCAGGCUGGAGUCUUGUAGAGGGGGGUAGAAUUCCAGGUGUAGCGGUGAAAUGCGUAGAGAUCUGGAGGAAUACCGGUGGCGAAGGCGGCCCCCUGGACAAAGACUGACGCUCAGGUGCGAAAGCGUGGGGAGCAAACAGGAUUAGAUACCCUGGUAGUCCACGCUGUAAACGAUGUCGACUUGGAGGUUGUUCCCUUGAGGAGUGGCUUCCGGAGCUAACGCGUUAAGUCGACCGCCUGGGGAGUACGGCCGCAAGGUUAAAACUCAAAUGAAUUGACGGGGGCCCGCACAAGCGGUGGAGCAUGUGGUUUAAUUCGAUGCAACGCGAAGAACCUUACCUACUCUUGACAUCCAGAGAACUUAGCAGAGAUGCUUUGGUGCCUUCGGGAACUCUGAGACAGGUGCUGCAUGGCUGUCGUCAGCUCGUGUUGUGAAAUGUUGGGUUAAGUCCCGCAACGAGCGCAACCCUUAUCCUUUGUUGCCAGCGGUCCGGCCGGGAACUCAAAGGAGACUGCCAGUGAUAAACUGGAGGAAGGUGGGGAUGACGUCAAGCCAUCAUGGCCCUUACGAGUAGGGCUACACACGUGCUACAAUGGCAUAUACAAAGAGAAGCGACCUCGCGAGAGCAAGCGGACCUCAUAAAGUAUGUCGUAGUCCGGAUUGGAGUCUGCAACUCGACUCCAUGAAGUCGGAAUCGCUAGUAAUCGUGGAUCAGAAUGCCACGGUGAAUACGUUCCCGGGCCU